CGCGGCAGUUCUCGCGGGAAUAGGAGGAGUGGGUCAUCGCACGGCGGAGCAGCUCGACGGUCUGGAAGUUAUACCUGGAGAAAAGAUCACAGGUGCUCGUUCUCGAUGAACAGGCGAUGAGGGGAUUGGCAGCAACAGAUUGACGCACUAGGAAGGGAGAAGACAGCGACAAGAAGGAAACUCAUAAUGAUGAGAACCAGAGCUCAACGAUCAAUUGCGACCGGCUCGAUUGGACACCAGCUCAUCGCCAACAUCGAGGUGAUGAACAAGGCAA